GCAAGUCGAGCGGAAACGAUGGUAGCUUGCUACCAGGCGUCGAGCGGCGGACGGGUGAGUAAUACUUAGGAAUCUACCUAGUAGUGGGGGAUAGCACGGGGAAACUCGUAUUAAUACCGCAUACGACCUACGGGAGAAAGGGGGCAGUUUACUGCUCUCGCUAUUAGAUGAGCCUAAGUCGGAUUAGCUAGAUGGUGGGGUAAAGGCCUACCAUGGCGACGAUCUGUAGCUGGUCUGAGAGGAUGAUCAGCCACACCGGGACUGAGACACGGCCCGGACUCCUACGGGAGGCAGCAGUGGGGAAUAUUGGACAAUGGGGGAAACCCUGAUCCAGCCAUGCCGCGUGUGUGAAGAAGGCCUUUUGGUUGUAAAGCACUUUAAGCAGUGAAGAAGACUCUUCGGUUAAUACCCGGAGACGAUGACAUUAGCUGCAGAAUAAGCACCGGCUAACUCUGUGCCAGCAGCCGCGGUAAUACAGAGGGUGCAAGCGUUAAUCGGAAUUACUGGGCGUAAAGCGAGCGUAGGUGGCUUGAUAAGUCAGAUGUGAAAUCCCCGGGCUUAACCUGGGAACUGCAUCUGAAACUGUUAGGCUAGAGUAGGUGAGAGGGAAGUAGAAUUUCAGGUGUAGCGGUGAAAUGCGUAGAGAUCUGAAGGAAUACCGAUGGCGAAGGCAGCUUCCUGGCAUCAUACUGACACUGAGGCUCGAAAGCGUGGGUAGCAAACAGGAUUAGAUACCCUGGUAGUCCACGCCGUAAACGAUGUCUACUAGUCGUUGGGUCCCUUGAGGACUUAGUGACGCAGCUAACGCAAUAAGUAGACCGCCUGGGGAGUACGGCCGCAAGGUUAAAACUCAAAUGAAUUGACGGGGGCCCGCACAAGCGGUGGAGCAUGUGGUUUAAUUCGAUGCAACGCGAAGAACCUUACCUGGUCUUGACAUAUCUAGAAUCCUGCAAAGAUGCGGGAGUGCCUUCGGGAAUUAGAAUACAGGUGCUGCAUGGCUGUCGUCAGCUCGUGU
rnacentral:rRNA from 1 species